UUUGAGUGAAUAACGUCAUAGCGUGCUUCCUGACUUGGGCAAAAGUUGUUGUCCCAUAACACUGAUGAUGUUAUUGGACAAAUCUCCACCGUUGAAUCGGUCCCCAAGUUACCCCUCCCGUUUCCACCGUCCAAUUUUUCAUCUGUCUUAAUCGUUCUCCUCGUGAUUCGGACUCAGGCUUCUUACCGACGUACGUCCAAUUCACGGAUCCGCAACACCAAAGAAGUUCAACAUGUUACCAACCACACACUCCAUGCUCAGAUCAGGAUAUCUUUGUUUAUCCGUCGGAUAUUCAUAAUCUGAUAUCACUUCAUAUUAACGUUAGGUACGGUGAGGGUGAGACACAUGUGAUUAUUUUCCUAACAGUAUGAUCACUUGAUCAGCAGUGCAGCAGAGACCUCGUGAAAAGUAAAAAAGGAAGAACGACACGGAUGUGAUGACACACACCAAACAAUCAGCUGUAUCAUGUGAUUGCUUUUAACAU
rnacentral:lncRNA from 1 species